GUGUGCUGAUUGCUGAGAGCCACACGCUGCCAGCUGUGCGUUGGGGGUGGGAAAGGUGACACCAGGUGUGCAGCAAGCCCAGGCCAGCAAGGGGCAGGUGACCAGCCUCAAAGAAGCUGAGUUAAUCACCAAAAAAGAGAAGAGAGGAGUGGGAGGAGCUGGCAAGGCAGAUUAGAAAGCAAAUAUCUCCAGGUUUAGGGCAAGAAUGAGAAAAGACUGAAGAGCAAAGAGAAAUAGUACAAGGAGCUGAGCCCUUGAUCAGCUCCCCAGGACCCUCUGUCUAAAGCUGGCCUACUGUGUGCAUUUUGCCGUAAAAGUAUCAAAAUGGAAGGCUGGGAUCACGUGUUUCUCACCAAGAACAAAGGAAUGAAUUUUUAAAAAAGAAAAAUGCUCAGGUCUCUCGAGGAUUCUAGAGGGUUUAGGGAAGAGGGCUCUGGGAAUCCCCUGUGGUCUGCGUUACAUGGUCGCCUGAGCAUCGGAAGCGGAGGUGAGACAAGAACCUGGAGCAGACGGGGCAGGAGACUAUGCUGCGUGUGGAGUGCUGCUGCUGUGGCCGGCGGGUGAUUCCAUCAGGAAAGUCCAUCUGGAGCCCAGUCUCCCGGCACUGCCGAUUGCGGAAGACCUUCCACAGGGCUGCUGCUUUGUCACUCAUCCUCAUUUUUGAGAAGAAAGAAGCUGUAUUCCUCACCGCUGCUCUCAGAUGUACAGAACGGAGCAGAUGCUCUAAGGUUAGACGUCAGAUAACGCGGUGAAGGGAUGUCAUUGCAUUUUUCAAACACCACCUUAUCACAAGAACACUUCUUAAAAAACUGAUCCUGAGCAUGUGUCAGGGUGUUACUGGCUUAUUAACAAGGCACCUGGGACAGAGACUUGAGUGUGAGUUCUAAGAGUUCAUUCCCAGGGUUGCAAAACAUCGUGUCUUUAUCAGGGGCCAGGAUAAAAUGGGGUGGUGCUGACCUGGCCCUAAAUCACAAAUAAGGAGCAAUGGCUCUCUGGCCCCUGGGCAAUGACACUCCAACCCUCCCCCCUGCCAUGCCAGACUGGCCAGCUGGCAGAAAAUGCAAGCAACUGUCCUCUUUAGUAUGAACAGCUAACAAAAAAAUAUUCAGC
rnacentral:lncRNA from 1 species